GAUGAAGAACGCAGCGAAAUGCGAUAAGUAAUGUGAAUUGCAGAAUUCAGUGAAUCAUCGAAUCUUUGAACGCACAUUGCGCCCGCCAGCACUCUGGCGGGCAUGCCUGUUCGAGCGUCAUUUCAACCAUCAAGCCCCCAGGGGCUUGUGCUGGGGCCCUGCGGCUGCCCGCAGGCCCUGAAAACCAGUGGCGGGCUCGCUAGUCACACCGAGCGCAGUAGCACAUCUCGCUCAGGGCGUGCGGCGGGCUCCUGCCGUGAAACCCCCCACUGUAACCCCAAAGGUUGACCUCGGAUCAGGUAGGAAUACCCGCUGAGCUUAAGCAUAUCAUAAGCGGAGGA
rnacentral:misc_RNA from 1 species